AAGCUCGUAGUUGAAUUUCGAGACCGGUUUACUGGUCGUGCUUUUGUACGUACUGGUAUUAUGGUUUCUCCUUUCUGACGAAUCAUAAUGCCAUUAAUUUGGUGUUUUGGGGAAUCAGGACUGUUACUUUGAAAAAAUUAGAGUGUUUAAAGCAGGCUCACGCUUGAAUACAUUAGCAUGGAAUAACGAAAUAGGACGUUUGAUUUUAUUCUGUUGGUUUCUAGGAUCGACGUAAUGAUUAAUAGGGAUAGUUGGG
rnacentral:rRNA from 1 species